AUUGAACGCUGGCGGCAGGCUUAACACAUGCAAGUCGAACGGUAACAUAAAGAAGCUUGCUUCUUUGAUGACGAGUGGCGGACGGGUGAGUAAUGCUUGGGAAUCUAGCUUAUGGAGGGGGAUAACUACGGGAAACUGUAGCUAAUACCGCGUAAUAUCGAAAGAUUAAAGUGUGGGACCUUCGGGCCACAUGCCAUAGGAUGAGCCCAAGUGGGAUUAGGUAGUUGGUGAGGUAAAGGCUCACCAAGCCGACGAUCUCUAGCUGGUCUGAGAGGAUGACCAGCCACACUGGGACUGAGACACGGCCCAGACUCCUACGGGAGGCAGCAGGGGGGAAUAUUGCGCAAUGGGGGCAACCCUGACGCAGCCAUGCCGCGUGAAUGAAGAAGGCCUUCUGGUUGUAAAUUUCUUUCGGUAGCGAGGAAGGCAUUUAGUUUAAUUGACUAGGUGAUUGACGUUAACUACAGAAGAAGCACCGGCUAACUCCGUGCCUGCAGCCGCGGUAAUUCGGAUGGUGCUAGCGUUAAUCGGAAUAACUGGGGGUAAAGGGCACUGUUGCGGUGACUUAAGUGAGGUGUGAAUGCCCCGGGCUUAAUUUGGAAUUGCAUUUCAUAUUGUUUCGUUGAUUACUUUAUUGAGUGGUUGAAUUCCUGGUGUUGCGGUGAAAUGUGGAUGGAUGGGGUGGAAUCCUGAGGGUGUGGUGUCUGUUUUGGUUGUGCUGUGUGCUUGUUUGUUUGUGUGGUGGUUGUGUAUGUGUGUGUCUUGUGUAUGUUGUGUGUGUGUGUUUGUGUGUGUGUGUUUUUUCUGUUCUGUUGCUGCGUGGGGCCUUAGCUAGUGAUGUUCUUUUUGUUGUGUGUGUGUAUGUGGUUGUGUGUGUGUUGGA
rnacentral:rRNA from 1 species